rnacentral:lncRNA from 1 species
GAUUAACUUUUUUACAAAUAGUCGUGAGGGAUUUGUUGAUAUAUAAAAGAUUGGUAUCGUCAGCAUAAUGAUGUAUCAUAGAAUUUUUUAACGAACAAGAUAAAUCAUUUAUAUAUAAUAAGAACAACAACGGUCCAAGAACGGAACCUUGUGGAACGCCAUAUUUAAUAACUUUAUGUGUGGAUUCAAAUCCAUUAAUUGAAACAAACUGAGUGCGAUCCGUAAUAUAUAAAGAAAACCAAUGAUUAGCAAUACCACGUAUUCCGUAGUAGUUUAACUUUUUUAUUAGAAUGUUGUGAUCAACCGUAUCAAAAGCUUUUUGAAGAUCUAUGAAUACACCACAAGCAAAAGAACCACUGUCAAUUGCACCACGAAUCAUUUCAGUAAUGCUAAUAAGAGCGUGAGAAGUGGAGUGAUUUGAGCGAAACCCAAAUUGUCGAAUAUGAAAACAAGCAGAAUUAUUUAAAAGGUUGUAAAUACGAGAAUACAUAAGUUUUUCUAAAAGUUUGCUGACAUUUGAUAAUAAUGAAAUUGGUCUGUAGUUAUUACGUUCAAGUUUUGAGUCUUUUUUAUGAAUUGGGAUAACAGAAGCAGUUUUUAAAAUAUCAGGGAAUACACCGGUUGUGAAUGACAGAUUAAAUAGUUCAGAAAGUACAGGAGAGAUAUCAUUUGCAAGAGCUUUAAAAAUAGGUAUUGGAAUGCUGUUAGGUCCAGAAGCCUUGCUGUCAUUAAGAGAAUGAAUAAUCGAUAAUACUUCGUUUUUGUCUGUAGGUUUUAUGAACAUUGAAUUAAGAUUAGGAUUUUUAAGAUAUUUAUUAAAGUCAGUAUUGGAUGAGUGGAUCUUAUUCUGUAAAUCUUCCGGAACUGAAACAAAAAAUGAAUUAAAAGAUUCCGAAAUUUUAAUGGGGUCGUGUAUCAUGGAGUUGGUAGAAGAUAAGCAUGAAGGAGAUGAGUUAACUCUCGAACUAAUGUUUAAAAGGUUCUUAAUACCAUUCCAUGUAGAUUUCAAAUUUUUGGCAUUGUCAGAGAAGAACUUAGAGUAAUGGUUCUUUUUACUACGACGGGUGAGAGUAACAAAAGUCAAGAUUCCUCGUGUUAUCCAAGGUUUGAGACCCCUUGAUAAGCAACGAUUGCUGACUUUUUUCAAUGGUGCAUGUUUAUCUAAAAGAGAAUUGAAACUUGAGAAAAACUCUUCAAAUGACUUAUUAGUCUUACCUUCGUUGACAUUAAUUACAUUAAUCCAGCUAAUUUUUGAGAAAUCACUACAUAACUCGACGCAAUUUAUUUGUUUUAGAUUUCGACGAAAAAUGCAGCUUUUACGAGAAUUAAUUUUGGUUCUAUAAAGAGGAUGUAUUAAAAAUUGGGGCAAAUGACCUGAUACCGUAGAAGUAAAAUUACCGGCAAAAAUAUUUGUAGAAGUUGCAUUAGAAAAUAUGUUAUCAAUUAGAGUUUUGGAGUGAUUUGUGAUUCUUCUUGGCAAUGAAAUAAAGGGAAGAAAGUUAUUUAAAGCAAUAGUGUCUAAAAAUUCAGAGACAGAAUUAUCUGAGUUUGCUAAUAAAAGAUCGACAUUAAAAUCGCCUAUUAAAAAAGUAGUUUUGUUUUUUUCCAUAGAUAGCUUUUCAAAAAGUGGAAUUAAAUAUGAUUUAAUAAAUUCUGAAAUAUCCAUACUAGGAUGGCGAUAAAUACAGCCAAUAAUGAUGUUUGAUUUUUUAGGAAUUAUGAUUUCCACAAACACAGAUUCUAAAAGUUUUGGUUUAAGCAUAUUAAGAUCAUAUCGAAGUUUAUAAAUUAAUGUAUUCGAUAUAUAAAGUAAAGCUCCUCCAAAAUAAGAUUUUGUUGGAGUGUGCUCAUAAACAUAACCGGUAAGAUUUAAUGGGAUAGUUGGUAAAAUGUCAUGUUUUAGUUUAGUUUCAGUUAUGCCAAUAAUACUGAAUUUAUGAUUAAUAAGAGAUAAAAGUGAGUUUAAUUCGUCAAAAUUUUUAACAAGAGAAGCAAUAUUUAAAUGA